rnacentral:rRNA from 1 species
ACAAUGGAGAGUUUGAUCCUGGCUCAGGAUGAACGCUAGCUACAGGCUUAACACAUGCAAGUCGAGGGGAAACGACAUCGAAAGCUUGCUUUCGAUGGGCGUCGACCGGCGCACGGGUGAGUAACGCGUAUCCAACCUGCCCACCACUUGGGGAUAACCUUGCGAAAGUAAGACUAAUACCCAAUGACGUCUCUAGAAGACAUCUGAAGGAGAUUAAAGAUUUAUCGGUGAUGGAUGGGGAUGCGUCUGAUUAGCUUGUUGGCGGGGUAACGGCCCACCAAGGCGACGAUCAGUAGGGGUUCUGAGAGGAAGGUCCCCCACAUUGGAACUGAGACACGGU